rnacentral:lncRNA from 1 species
UUCUAUUUUGCCCAGCACAGCACCUGACAUACAGAAAAUAUUCCAUUGAAUACAUUAAAUUGUCAUGUGGUAAGAAGGCAACGUGGUGGGGAGAAGGAAAGGCAAGCAACUUGAGUUGGGAGCCGACCACCUAGGAUCAUACAGUCCUACCACCUUUCCUGUGCAAUAGAGGCUUAUGCACAGCUCGCCUACCCAACGAGGCAAGAGGAUUUUCAAGACCAUUUCCUGCAUAAACAUUAGCUACUGGAGACAGCAUGGUUCAGUGGCAGAAGAUUCAGACUCUAGAAAACACUGUCCAGUUUGCAUCCUGACUGAGGGACCCUGGGUCACAAAUGCAGUUAACACUGGUGAAGAGAGACUGAGAAAAAAGAGGCCAAGAAACCAUCACAUCGGCUACAUGUUCUGAUUUCACAGAGAAGUAGAGUGUCAGACAGGACACAGUCAUAGCUCUAGGGAAAUUGAGGUCUUUAAAAUGAUUAUUUUGAAUUCUAGAUGAUGCCAUUUUGCUUUUCGCAACUCAAUAUUCCAGCCACAGAAUUGUCCCCUUGGAACAUUCUCCUACUUGAAGUUUCCACAGUUUGAAUGAAAGACGUGUAAGAAAUAUUUUCAUAUUGUCUGUCACACUUAAAUUCAAAUGUUCAUGUUUAAUGAGCCACAGGCCACUGAUCUAAAGCAGAGAUCAUUAAUUGUUCAAAGCCUAGGGUGAAGUCAGCAUUAGUGUGAUAAUUUGACCACACUAUUUAAGUGAUGGGAUGUUGGUUGUUCACAAAGCAUGGCAUGAAAGACUUGAGGAGUAUGUUGUAAUCAAAAUAAUAAUAAAUUGGUAUAAACUUUCUGGAAAACUACA